UCAGCCUGUGCAUCGAGUCCUUGUCCUCAU
rnacentral:piRNA from 1 species